UCAGCUUCACUUCUCGGAGCAGUAGGGCUCCUCCUCUCUUUCCUUCCUCCAUGCUUCCAAGGCUCGUCUGCUAUGUCUCCGAGGCAGUUCUCGCUAGCAUUUCAGUCAAACCGGCCACUCAUCCAAGGACAUCCGCGUGUACAUCUUACAAUCUGGUUUCCCCUCUGACCGUAGCAGGCAACAGCGUGAAUCAUUCCUAAUCCACAAAUUCCAGUCCAAAGGCCGGAACAGCUGUCCAGUACUGGCAUGGCGACGUUUGACUUACAAACAUAUGCAUACGUGCAGCCAAAGGCCUCCGGAUAUUUUUCCCCUUGUAUACUUCACUGGCUUUGCACUGGGCUUUGAGUGCUCAGGCAAGAUGGCGAUGUCCGAAGCACACCACGUUCCGUCAGUCCUGCAUGUGCACUUCCUUCUACAGGUUUCUCUGUUCCUGAUCUUCCAAAGCGAAAUGUUUCAGUUGUGUCCUCUUCUAUGGGUGUCUUAUAUUUACUCUCAUUACUGGCUUGUACUUACAAAGAUGUAGGCCUUUAUUUGUUCAGUAUAAAAAAUACAGCGUGUAAUUUAUUUAUUUGUUUGUAAUCACUAUUUAGUUGGAGCAUUAGCUUCGUCCCAAAUGCUGACUCCAUCACACGCGCAAAUGCGCUUUGGAUUUUGAGAUAUUCCAGAUGCUCUAGCGAUAAUGCCACAAGCAAGCCUGAAAGAGAAGAAAAGCAGACAAGCAGAUACAAACACAUUCCUGUCGAUGUCCGUCUGUACAAUAAAGAAUGUCCACAGUACAAACGAAACGGAGGCAUGCACUGAGCAGUAAUGAGGAGCACCUGCAAGCACCACGCACUGCUUAAAUAUACACAUACGAGUACUUGUACUU